GGGUCAGUAGGUUGGUCGUGCCACCGGUACGUACUGGUCUCACUGAUUCCUCCUUCCUGAAGAACCGUAAUGCCAUUAAUUUGGUGUUGCGGGGAAACAGGACUGUUACUUUGAAAAAAUUAGAGUGUUUAAAGCAAGCUAACGCUUGAGUACAUUAGCACGGAAUAAUGAAAUAGGACGAUCGAUCCUAUUUUGUUGGUUUCUAGGAUUGACGUA
rnacentral:rRNA from 1 species